UCACCAGGUCAGCAUUAUCAAAGUGGACGAACAAAUGGUAAAAAAAUGCUUUGACGACCAAUGAGGAAGAUUGUUCUGAGUUCGGAUUUGUUAUUGAAGAUUGUAGGACUUUGCUGGCACUUCGAGCUAAUGUAUCCUUAAGUUGGGUUCGAAGACAAGGCAACGGUAGCCCAUAACAUUGCGUAGACUGCUCGUUCCCAU
rnacentral:lncRNA from 1 species